UCAGAGCCCUCAGUGAAGUCCCAGGCUAACCCCAUUUGCUUUCCCUUACCGUUCAUGUUUCAGCGUCCAUAUUAAUGAGCGACAUCAGCAAGGAAUGGAAGAUAAUAAGAAAUUGGCUUAUCUUGUUGAUAUUAAGACUAUUGCUGUCGGUCUGGAGCGCAGCGGGGGGAAAGACCCAGGUGAUGGUGACAGAAGGUGUGACCACCAUUGCCUGCACGCUGGAUGAGGGCCUCAUUGAGUUUGGAACCGCCAUCGAUGACGGCAACUACACCCGGUGAGAGGCUGCUGCUGACUGGUGUAGCAGCAGGAGGCCGUGCCUGAGAAGGGCAGCUGGGAUGGCUGUGAAGCUGCCCACGUCUAAUCAGGGCGGAGUGCUGCAGGGAGGAGACUAAACAAAGUGGGCAAAUAAUUGCCCAGCCCCUCCCAUCCCCUGCCCAGGACAGAUUAACUCACUGUGUAGCCCAGGCUGGCCUCAAAGUCACAGCAGUCUCCCACCUCAGCCUCCUGAGUGUUGGGGUUACAGGCACCCACCACCACUCCUGGCCCUUGUUUUGGUAAUUCUUGCACAUGAGUUCCGUCCGUAUUUUGUGGGUCCCAAAACUUAUGCAGCCUGAAGAGCCCUGUUGAAAGGUUUGUGCACAUGGGGAGCCCUGAAACUUAAGUUUCUUUCAGUUUUCAUCCAAAUCCACCUGUGGGCUGGAGUUGUGGCUCAGUGGUAGAGCAUGUGCCUAGCAUGCACAAGGCCCUGCGUUUGCCCCCAGGACCACCAAAGAGACGGAGUCAGAGACAGAUAUAGAGUGAGGUGUGUGCAGCAGUUAAAAGAUGAGGGCCGAGGUGCUUGGUCCCCAUGGCCUGGCGUUGCAGCUGUGCUGAACAGGGCGUGCUGACUUUUGAUCCUCAUGUCUUCCCUCUUCCUUUCUCCUGCCUGAUUUCCCUAGAAUGCUGUUGAGGCUAUGAACAUGUACCAAGAGCUACACCGUUGGUACGAGUGUAUCACUGUGGCUGAGGCCAAGGUAC
rnacentral:lncRNA from 1 species